CUUGAUUGUGUGAUCCCGCCUAAUUAGCUUUGUUGUCUUGCAGGUCAGCUCAUGCCAUGACAUGUCCCGGUUAAUCUGAACCAGAUGCCUCUCUCCGCCGACAUACCGGAGCUCUCCGUCACUUGGCCUUGGAUAGGAGUAGGGUGCACAAGAUUAACAUGAAACGUUGCAGAAACUUACUCGAAAUUAUCAAAGUGGAAGAGCAUGCAACAAGAAAGCAGAAGAGAGUCACUGACCUGAACUCGGUUUCAGCUGAUGGGCGGCUACUAGGGCUCAAGCUUAAAUGGGGGACUCUGUUUUGCUUCAGCUGUGUUGGAGCUGGAGCUGCUAAUAUGGACGGCUGAGCCAACUUGGGAUGGUAGUUUUGGACACAAGAGUGGACAGGAGUUGUUGACUGACUCAGCUCUGACUGUGAGCAGAGGCAUUUGAUUGAUUGGGUCGGCAAUGGCUACCGUCAGUCGCCACUCUGAUGAUGACAGAGGGAGAAUAACAGUUUUGAAUGAAGGUACACUUGAUUAAUUGUUUUUUUUUUUGCUUGUUUACUCCGGAGUUCCAAGUUUGCUAAAUAUGCUCUUAUAAUAUGCUGCCAGCAUGCAUAUAUAGCGUAUGAGCUAUCUGGUAAUCUGAAUAAUCCUUUAACAACCAAUUACGCAUGUUGUAUUUUAAUACAUAUACUGAGCUGUCUAGCUACAUGAAUGCAGAGUGUUUUGUUGUAAA